AUUGAACGCUGGCGGCAUGCCUUACACAUGCAAGUCGAACGGCAGCACGGGAGCAAUCCUGGUGGCGAGUGGCGAACGGGUGAGUAAUGUAUCGGAACGUGCCCAGUCGUGGGGGAUAACGUAGCGAAAGCUACGCUAAUACCGCAUACGAUCUAUGGAUGAAAGCGGGGGAUCGCAAGACCUCGCGCGAUUGGAGCGGCCGAUAUCAGAUUAGGUAGUUGGUGGGGUAAAGGCUCACCAAGCCGACGAUCUGUAGCUGGUCUGAGAGGACGACCAGCCACACGGGGACUGAGACACGGCCCAGACUCCUACGGGAGGCAGCAGUGGGGAAUUUUGGACAAUGGGCGCAAGCCUGAUCCAGCAAUGCCGCGUGCAGGAUGAAGGCCUUCGGGUUGUAAACUGCUUUUGUACGGAACGAAACGGCGAGCUCUAAUACAGUUUGCUAAUGACGGUACCGUAAGAAUAAGCACCGGCUAACUACGUGCCAGCAGCCGCGGUAA
rnacentral:rRNA from 1 species